AACGUACGCUGGCGGCACGCUUAACACAUGCAAGUCGAACGAAGUAGCAAUACUUAGUGGCAGACGGGUGAGUAACAUGUGGGUAUCUGCCCUUUGGCCUGGAAUAACACGAGGAAACUUGUGCUAAUACCGGAUAAGUCUUUACGGAGAAAGCUUUAUGCACCAUUGGAUGAGCCCGCACUUGAUUAGUUUGUUGGUGGGGUAAUGGCCUACCAAGACUGUGAUCAAUAGCUGAUUUGAGAGGAUGAUCAGCCACAUUGGGACUGAGACACGGCCCAAACUCCUACGGGAGGCAGCAGUGGGGAAUCUUGCACAAUGGAGGAAACUCUGAUGCAGCGAUGCCGCGUGAGUGAAGAAGAGCCCUUGGGUUGUAAAGCUCCUUCGUCGGGGAAGAAAAUGACUGUACCCGAAUAAGAAGGUCCGGCUAACUUCGUGCCAGCAGCCGCGGUAAUACGAAGGGACCUAGCGUAGUUCGGAAUUACUGGGCUUAAAGAGUUCGUAGGUGGUUGAAAAAGUUAGUGGUGAAAUCCCAGAGCUUAACUCUGGAACUGCCAUUAAAACUUUUCAGCUAGAGUAUGAUAGAGGAAAGCAGAAUUUCUAGUGUAGAGGUGAAAUUCGUAGAUAUUAGAAAGAAUACCAAUUGCGAAGGCAGCUUUCUGGAUCAUUACUGACACUGAGGAACGAAAGCAUGGGUAGCGAAGAGGAUUAGAUACCCUCGUAGUCCAUGCCGUAAACGAUGUGUGUUAGACGUUGGAAAUUUAUUUUCAGUGUCGCAGCGAAAGCGAUAAACACACCGCCUGGGGAGUACGACCGCAAGGUUAAAACUCAAAUGAAUUGACGGGGACCCGCACAAGUAGUGGAGCAUGUGGUUUAAUUCGAAGAUACGCGCAGAACCUUACCAACACUUGACAUGUUCGUCGCGACUCUAAGAGAUUAGAGUUUUCGGUUCGGCCGGACGAAACACAGGUGCUGCAUGGCUGUCGUCAGCUCGUGUCGUGAGAUGUUGGGUUAAGUCCCGCAACGAGCGCAACCCUCACUUUUAGUUGCCAUCAUUAAGUUGGGCACUCUGAAAGAACUGCCAGUGAUAAGCUGGAGGAAGGUGGGGAUGACGUCAAGUCCUCAUGGCCCUUACGUGUUGGGCUACACACGUGCUACAAUGGUAUCUACAACAGGAAGCAAGACUGCGAGGUCAAGCAAAUCCUUAAAAGAUACCUCAGUUCGGAUUGCACUCUGCAACUCGAGUGCAUGAAGCUGGAAUUACUAGUAAUCGUGGAUCAGCGUGCCACGGUGAAUGCGUUCCCGGGUCU
rnacentral:rRNA from 1 species